rnacentral:lncRNA from 1 species
UCUGUGGAGAUUUGGCUCAUAUAGCAAUUCUUUAAAUUGCACAGAAGUAUGAUAUAUGGUGUACUUCAGAAUAUAUCAUGUCUCUCCAAAUCCCUGCCAGCAUACUGGGGAUGAUUUCAAGGUAUGUCUGUAUGAGAAAAUCACUGCUGGCUCAGUGAUUAAGCGUCAAUGCCAAGUCCUGUGACUUUGGAUCUCAGCUUUCAUUGCUUCCAAAAGGCCUGAUUCUGCUCUGUUGUAUUGCCAGUGAUGCCCCUGAGAGGAGAAAUCAAGUCCAGGCUCAUACUUGGGCCAGAUGGCCUCUCAAACCAUCCCAAACCUGCAAUCUCACUGACAGGAGGCUGGAUCCACCUCAGAGUCACAUCACCUUUCAUCUUGCUGGAGUCACUCUGGUCUCAUGAAAAGUGUGGAGGGAGCAGAGCCAUCAGGAGCUGUGAUACAUGUCCUACCUGUGAACAGGCAAGAUGGAUCAAAGGGUGGCUGCAGCACCUGUAUCUCUGUGGGGUUCAGCACAGCAGAGUAAUUGAGACCUUGAGAUCCUACUGCCACAAGUAUGAACAGAAAUGAGGAAAAACUGGUAUUUUUUUAAACAAGGUACUUCAAAGCAAGGAAUUGCCUUCUAAAAAUAGUAGCCAGCACUUUGAGGAGUCAAUUGUGAUUUUAAGGUGUUAACUGCCCUUUGGUGCGUGAUUUGCUG